rnacentral:rRNA from 1 species
AAGCUCGUAGUUGAAUUUCGGGAUUAGUACGUCGGUCGUGCCUUAGGUACGUACUGGUGUUACUGGUUCCUACCUUCUGACGAACCAUCAUGUCAUUAAUUUGGUGUGGUGGGGAAUCAGGACUGUUACUUUGAAAAAACUUAGAGUGUUUAAAACGCAGGCUCGCGCUUGAAUACAUUAGCAUGGAAUAAUGAAAUAGGACGUUGAUCCUAUUUUGUUGGUUUCUAGGAUUGACGUAAUGAUUAAUAGGGAUAGUUGGG